rnacentral:rRNA from 1 species
GGAGUUAGCCGGUGCUUCUUCUGUGAGUGAUGUCCUUCCUGCCGGCUAUUAACCCGCAGGCCUUCUUCCUCACUGAAAGUGCUUUACAACCCGAAGGCCUUCUUCACACACGCGGCAUGGCUGGAUCAGGGUUGCCCCCAUUGUCCAAUAUUCCCCACUGCUGCCUCCCGUAGGAGUCUGGGCCGUGUCUCAGUCCCAGUGUGGCUGAUCAUCCUCUCAGACCAGCUACGGAUCGUCGCCUUGGUGAGCCGUUACCUCACCAACCAGCUAAUCCGACAUAGGCUCAUCCGAUAGCGCGAGGCCCGAAGGUCCCCCGCUUUCCCCCGUAGGGCGUAUGCGGUAUUAGCCUGGGUUUCCCCAGGUUAUCCCCCACUACCGGGCAGAUUCCUAUGCAUUACUCACCCGUCCGCCGCUCGCCACCAGGGAGCAAGCUCCCCGUGCUGCCGCUCGACUUGCAUGUGUUAGGCCUGCCGCCAGCGUUCAAUCUGAGCCAGGAUCAAAUCUGA